rnacentral:rRNA from 1 species
UACAGAGGUCCCAAGCGUUGUUCGGAGUUACUGGGCGUAAAGGGUGUGUAGGCGGUUGUUUAAGUUUGGUGUGAAAUCUCCCGGCUCAACUGGGAGGGUGCGCCGAAUACUGAAUGACUAGAGUGCGGGAGAGGAAAGUGGAAUUCCUGGUGUAGCGGUGAGAUGCGUAGAUAUCAGGAGGAACACCGGUGGUGUAGACGGCUUUCUGGACCGUAACUGACGCUGAGACACGAAAGCGUGGGUAGCAAACAGG